rnacentral:lncRNA from 1 species
AUGAUUCUAUACAGCAGGGGCAUACUCUGGAGUACUGCUCAUACACUGGAGAUCUGGAGGUCUGGAGUACUGCUCAUACACUGGAGAUCUGGAGGUCUGGAGUACUGCUCAUACACUGGAGAUCUGGAGGUCUGGAGUACUGCUCAUACACUGGAGAUCUGGAGGUCUGGAGUACUGCUCAUACACUGGAGAUCUGGAGGUCUGGAGUACUGCUCAUACACUGGAGGUCUGGAGUACUGCUCAUACACUGGAGGUCUGGAGUACUGCUCAUACACUGGAGGUCUGGAGUACUGCUCAUACACUGGAGAUCUGGAGGUCUGGAGUACUGCUCAUACACUAGAGAUCUGGAGUACUGCUCAUACACUGGAGGUCUGGAGUACUGCUCAUACACUGGAGGUCUGGAGUACUGCUCAUACACUGGAGAUCUGGAGGUCUGGAGUACUGCUCAUACACUGGAGAUCUGAAGUACAGCUCAUACACUGGAGAUCUGGAGUACUGCUCAUACUCUGGAGAUCUGGAGUACUGCUCAUACUCUGGAGAUCUGGAGUACUGCUCAUACUCUGGAGAUCUGGAAUACUGCUCAUAGUCUGGAGAUCUGGAGUACUGCUCAUACUCUGGAGAUCUGGAAUACUGCUCAUACUCUGGAGAUCUGGAGUACUGCUCAUACUCUGGAGAUCUGGAAUACUGCUCAUACACUGGAGGUCUGGACAUACACUGGAGGUCUGGAGUACAGCUCAUACACUGGAGGGCUGGAGUACUGCUCAUACACUGGAGGUCUGGAGUACAGCUCAUACACUGGAUAUCUGGAGUACUGCUCAUACACUGGAGGUCUGGAGUACAGCUCAUACACUGGAGGUCUGGAAUACUGCUCAUACACUGGCGGUCUGGAGUACAGCUCAUACACUGGAGGUCUGGAGUACAGCUAAUACACUGGAGGUCUGGAAUACUGCUCAUACACUGGCGGUCUGGAGUACAGCUCAUACACUGGAGGUCUGGAGUACAGCUCAUACACUGGAGGUCUGGAGUACAGCUCAUACACUGGAGGUCUGGAGUACUGCUCAUACCCUGGAAGUCUGGACUACUGCUGGUUCUGUUCUACCUAAUCAUUAA